CUCUUAUCGAGAGUGGUGGAGGGACUGGCCCUAUGAAACCCGGCAACCUGAUUUGAUCAAGGUGCUAAUUCCAGCAGCUAAAAAGCUGAUAGAUGAGUA
rfam:Peptostreptococcus anaerobius CAG:621 genomic scaffold, scf275